UACGUAGGGGGCAAGCGUUGUCCGGAAUUAUUGGGCGUAAAGAGCUCGUAGGCGGCUCAGUAAGUCGGAUGUGAAAACUCGGGGCUCAACCCCGAGACGCCAUCCGAUACUGCUGUGGCUUGAGUCUGGUAGGGGAACACGGAAUUCCUGGUGUAGCGGUGAAAUGCGCAGAUAUCAGGAGGAACACCGAUGGCGAAGGCAGUGUUCUGGGCCAGUACUGACGCUGAGGAGCGAAAGCGUGGGUAGCAAACAGG
rnacentral:rRNA from 1 species